rnacentral:rRNA from 1 species
CGCUCAAGCAAUCGCAGUUGCCUCAACCCGUCGUUGCGGUGGCGGGUGGCGCAGCAGCGGCGCACCCAAGCUCGGUUCGAGGUGAGGUCAGUUAGUUAGAGUUGGGGAUCUCGUCAUUUUCGGUAAAAACUUGGGCGACAACACGGUGGAGUGUCGUGGGGUCGGCGGUGCAGGGGCCGCACCACCAUCGGAGCGUCAUCCCAAAAUGGAAACGAAGGGGAAAGGGGUUCGACGUCUCGGGCGCCGCUGGCUCCGCCCUCCCCUCCCCUCGGUACCUCUAGCCCCCCGUCGUGGGCCGCUCGUCGACGAGGUUCCUCGUGGUCUUCUAGAUGGCGCUGACCAAGCGGAAGCGGCUGAGUCUACCGCUGCCGGCGUAGUGCCCGGGGCUGCGGUAGUCCAAGAAGCGGUACAGGUCGGAGGGGGCGCGGCUGGAGUUCGUCCAGACCCGGUAGCGGCUGAGGUUCGCCGACCCCAUGGAGCCGAAGCCGCUCAAGUAGUGGCGCUACGUCGAGCAGAGAAACCGCGUCCGCCCCUUACUCUAUAGGGUCCUGUCGGAAGUCGCCCUUCUAGAUUAGUCGAAGUUAGGGGGUCACUACCUCCCAAACCUACGAGUUGAACGCUUUAGCUUCGUAAACCGUUUCUCCCAGCUAGUCCUAUACCUACCUAAAGGAGUCCGUGUCCCUGGAAGAUGAUUGGUAACCAAGUUGAGUUUCAGUAGGUUCUUCUAUGGGGACUGACGACAAUGAAGACAGUAACUACCUAAUUUUUCUGAUAUGUAGCUUUUUAACUUCGGAAACCUUCAAUGUAUGUUUAAGUUACUAAAACACAGGGGCAAUGACUGUUUGUCACUAAAACUACGUUUCGGUUACCAAUACGAGAAUCCAGUUAUAAGAUGUCCCUUUUGAUGAAAGUAGUUUGUAGACGAUUUUUGUUCGAUAGGUCCACGGGUAUAACCUGGCCUCGGCUGUUGGCUGUCUAAACAACAACAGUACAGUCCUGGACUACUUUCCUGAUAGGGACCUUUAUGAAAUCGACAAGUUCGUCUAUACGGAAAAUCACCAGAGUGUUGUAAACCCUGAAGCAAAAACAGGUUCAAACUUACGAGAGUCUACGGUGUAGGUGAUGAUCUCGUAUAGUGCAAACAUCUGUGUGGACCACAAGAAAGACCACUUUUCGUUGCCUGUGUUGCAUCGAUACUUAAGUGUCCACAAUGUAGUACCAAACGACGGUUCACACUGGAAUAGGACGAAGACAAACUAGGAGUAUUCGAACUAUAGUCGCUACUCAAAUUUGCACAGUAGCCUAGAAAUGCACCUGUACUACUGUUUUAUGCACAUCAAGAUUUGUUCCGGCUGGUUUAACUGUGAGUUGUCGAAUACUCUCAAAUACCACGUGAAUACACCAGAGAACCAUUUCAUAACUUAUGGGGACUCCACAGCGCGCAAAUAUAACCUAGCAAGUUACUAUUUGGUCAUUUCCUUAGUCGACAACCGGGCUAGCCUUUCCUUGAUAAACUCUUUCUCGUCCUACUAGAGGAAAGACUAGAUUUUCUAUAUGGUUUCUUUCGAACACUGGCGUCCUAGUUACUUAAGCAGUUUGCACGAUCUCGACGGUUCUAUGUACGAAUAUAUUAACCCGUAGAUUUCUUAGUCUACGGAUGCUACUACCCGUUUCGAUUUCGGGUCGUCUUUGAAUAGCUGUUAAACCUCCCGCUCAAACGUUUCCACGUUUCCCUUGUGGUAGAGGGGCGCCCCCUAAAGGGAAUGCACCUCGUGAAGUCUCUUCGUAACCCGCCCAUGUCGUAGCUGUCCAAGCUCUUCCACUUCGGGUUCUACUAGGUCCGCCACCUGCUGUACGAGCCCAUGCUGUAGGGCCUCGACGAGUUCUUGAAGUCCUUGGGAAUGCUCACUCGUUUAUAGUACUAGCCUUCUGCCGAAACCAAGCGUCAAGCUGUACAGUCCGCACCUACCGCCACCGAACGGGUAUCCCAAAACCGACGGUCACAUCAUCCCACAAAUAACGAUGAUGUGACAUGGGUAACAACAUAAUAUUGACAUAAUACGUAUUAUGCUCGGUCUUCGUUAACGAGUCAACAAGCGACCUCUUGCCGGAAUAACAUUACCGUACCUUCAGCCUUAUACCCUACCACCAACGUAAAUAGGAAGUCUACUAGUAGAUAAGCAAGGCUCCUUGUCGAAC